UAUGUAGAAGUGUAUAGAGCACGAAAAGUUUUGAUCUUUCGAGGAUUGGUGCGAUUCCAAUUUACAUAA
rnacentral:tRNA from 1 species